GGAGGAAAGCAGGGGAUCGCAAGACCUUGCGCUCAUUGAGCGGCCGAUGCCUGAUAGCUAGUUGGUGAGGUAAAGGCUUACCAAGGCGACGAUCAGUAGCUGGUCUGAGAGGACGACCAGCCACACUGGGACUGAGACACGGCCCAGACUCCUACGGGAGGCAGCAGUGGGGAAUUUUGGACAAUGGGGGAAACCCUGAUCCAGCCAUGCCGCGUGAGUGAAGAAGGCCUUCGGGUUGUAAAGCUCUUUCAGCCGGAACGAAACAGUCACGGAUAAUACCCGUGACUACUGACGGUACCGGAAGAAGAAGCACCGGCUAACUACGUGCCAGCAGCCGCGGUAAUACGUAGGGUGCGAGCGUUAAUCGGAAUUAUUGGACGUAAAGCGUGCGCAGGCGGUUUUGUAAGUCAAAGGUGAAAUCCCCGGGCUUAACCUGGGAACUGCGUCUAAAGAGCAAAGCUAAGGGC
rnacentral:rRNA from 1 species